rnacentral:rRNA from 1 species
AUGAUACUCACUAGGCAACAGUUGGCGAUGACUGAAGACAGUGGUCCUCUGCACGCUACAAUCGAAGUUCCUCACGAUGAAAUUGUUCACCACAGUUAUUCUUGUGCUCUGGAGAGGUCUUUCUUGCGCUAUGGGCGUAUGUGCAUCUCCUCAUGGCAUCUGUGCUUCCAGUCACACGUAUUCUCCAAGCAAUUAAAUGUGAUCAUUCCGUUACAAGACAUAUAUGAGAUAAGGAGGAGCCAGCACUCCCUUAUAAACCCAGCUAUUACUAUAUUUCUCCGUACCGGCGCAGGUGGUCAUGGAGUAUCUCCAUUGUGCUGCCAAAAUGGAAGCGUAAGGUACAAGUUCACAUCCUUCUGGAACAGAAACCGUACAUUUCGAGCUCUAGAGACAGCGCUGCAGAGUUACCGAGCAACAUUGGAAGCCGAAAAGCAGAUGGGUUCACAUUUGCUUCUUAAAGGAGAGAGUAUGAAUGUUAUUAGCAGCAGAACAGACAACAUAAAGACAGAAGACAGAAGACAGAAGAAUUGGACUGACUAUCACAUUUCAACCUUUCAUCAAUGA